rnacentral:rRNA from 1 species
UCAUUACCGAGUGUAGGGUUCCUAGCGAGCCCAACCUCCCACCCGUGUUUACUGUACCUUAGUUGCUUCGGCGGGCCCGCCAUUCAUGGCCGCCGGGGGCUCUCAGCCCCGGGCCCGCGCCCGCCGGAGACACCACGAACUCUGUCUGAUCUAGUGAAGUCUGAGUUGAUUGUAUCGCAAUCAGUUAAAACUUUCAACAAUGGAUCUCUUGGUUCCGGCAUCGAUGAAGAACGCAGCGAAAUGCGAUAACUAGUGUGAAUUGCAGAAUUCCGUGAAUCAUCGAGUCUUUGAACGCACAUUGCGCCCCCUGGUAUUCCGGGGGGCAUGCCUGUCCGAGCGUCAUUGCUGCCCAUCAAGCACGGCUUGUGUGUUGGGUCGUCGUCCCCUCUCCGGGGGGGACGGGCCCCAAAGGCAGCGGCGGCACCGCGUCCGAUCCUCGAGCGUAUGGGGCUUUGUCACCCGCUCUGUAGGCCCGGCCGGCGCUUGCCGAACGCAAAUCAAUCUUUCUCAGGU